rnacentral:lncRNA from 1 species
UUUGGCACCACAGGUAAGUAAGAUCUCCAAGUUUCAAAUGCAAGCCUGAACAUGAAUACGCUCUAACUGGCUUCUAACCUGUCAUAACUGUCGCUGAAUUGAUUUUACAAGCUAGCUAAGAGUUGGGUCCUAUGUCUGGUUUUUUGAUGCCUCAGAGCAUCGCCAGUAUUUUUAGGGCUGUCCCCAAACUGAUUUGAGUGCAUUUAUUUUAAAUAAUCAUAUACAUAACCUUACUUUCACACACUCACCACCUAGUGUUUAGAGAAACAAGAAAGUGGUAACAUUGUGAAAUGAAACAGAAAGCUUCAAAGAGGAUGAUGGUCACCGAGUGUGAUUCUGGACAGAAUGAACGCUGAGAGAAAAGUAAGGAGUGUACUCAGAAUACUUAUGCAGGAGACAGAGCCUUUAC